AUUGUAAAAGGCUGGAUCGCGGAUAGGGAGCGCGAGCGUGAAGAAACCGGCCGCCAUCUUACUGUACCCACAACAGUCGCCGCAGCGAUCAUGGCAACUUCUUGCAAUUACGGUCGUACCAACCGUACUGGCAAGGUUACAGGGCCUAAAUUUAUACAGGUUUCGUCAUGAGGGCUACCCAGUGAAUAAUCUGUGCAGUGUGAUACGGCUGGGUGUACAGGUUACUUCACGGUUGCCUCGACAUACUCAAGAAAUGGGUGCAGAACCUGCGUAAUGCCCACAAACUUUGACUACCACAGCACCUCCAGAAAGUAAAGGCAUAUGUGUCACAUGGGAUUUUUAAAGGCAUUCACAGUAUAUAAUACCUUGUAUGAACUGUUGUAGAGCCUCUACAGUACACUCUCAGAAAUUAAAACUUGUCAGGGAACUGUGAUAAUUGUUUCAGUUAAUAAGCAUGUACAUAUACGCUAUAAGAAGAAAAUUAUUUAUUGAAAAUGCACUUCUCUGGCUACUCAUGUUGUUUACAUCUACUGUUGAUCACAUUCAUUUAUCACAUAUUAUAUUCUUAUAUAUUCUUAUUAUAUUAUCACAUAUUCGAUCACACUAAAUUUAAAAUUCAGCAUAUAUGAGAAAAUAUCAGGAGGGAAAUUGCUAUGCAUUGCUCAUUCCAACCUAAAAUUGAGUGCUACAAAUUUAGAGAGCGUACCAGACCAUUGUCAUUCCUAAAAUAUAUAUUGCCAUUGUAGCAAGGUCACAAAACAAUAAAUGUAGUCUUUUGCGACCUCCCUGCACGUUCAUUGUAUCCUGAAACGCAUAAGUGCAAGAAAUAAAUCUUGAACUUGAAUAAACUCGAUGUUGUAUAAACUUGACAUAAAAUAUUGAAUAAUUUCAAUUCCAUUUCAAUUUUGUUAGUAGUAUUUGCAAUACAUAGUACACAGUGGGGGCCCCGUAGCAUAGCUAGAGGUGGGGCCUCCCGGAAACAAUCUGAAUAUCAUGUAUGUGGCGACAACAUCAGAACAAGGUAUCCAAUAUAACGAUGUACUGUCACAGUAUGGGACAAAGCACAA